AAGGCAAUAAAUAAUUAUAAAAUGUAGAUCUUUUAAUUUUCAAUAAAGGAAACAAAUUCUCUUCAUCCUUCUUUUCUUCUCCUUUUUUUUUUUCCUUUCUUCUGCCCCUCUCUUCCUAUUU
rnacentral:ribozyme from 1 species